UCCAGCAGUAGUCAGCUGUACAGACAGACCCGCUGCUAUGAUGGUGUUACACUGCUGGGAAGGAAUGUCUUGUCUUCAUCUAGUUGCCUUUGUCAUGGUUCUGGUGGGAUGUGGCACUAGGGCAAGGGAACACUGCUUCCUUGAGAGUGUGCUAAGCAUUCACCUGGGCUGCUUAGUUCUAGUCUAGGAGCAGACACA
rnacentral:snoRNA from 1 species